AUUGAACGCUGGCGGCAGGCCUAACACAUGCAAGUCGAGCGGAUGAAGGGAGCUUGCUCCUGGAUUCAGCGGCGGACGGGUGAGUAAUGCCUAGGAAUCUGCCUGGUAGUGGGGGAUAACGUCCGGAAACGGGCGCUAAUACCGCAUACGUCCUGAGGGAGAAAGUGGGGGAUCUUCGGACCUCACGCUAUCAGAUGAGCCUAGGUCGGAUUAGCUAGUUGGUGGGGUAAAGGCCUACCAAGGCGACGAUCCGUAACUGGUCUGAGAGGAUGAUCAGUCACCCUGGAACUGAGACACGGCCGAGACUCCUACGGGAGGACGCAGUGGGGAAUAUUGGACAAUGGGCGAAAGCCUGAUCCAGCCCUGCCGCGUGUGUGAAGAAGGUCUUCGGAUUGUAAAGUACUUUAAGUUGGGAGGAAGGGCAGUAAGUUAAUACCUUGCUGUUUUGACGUUACCAACAGAAUAAGCACCGGCUAACUACGUG
rnacentral:rRNA from 1 species